rnacentral:rRNA from 1 species
UGCAAGUCGAACGAUGAAGCCUAGCUUGCUAGGUGGAUUAGUGGCGAACGGGUGAGUAAUACGUGAGUGACCUACCUUUGACUCUGGGAUAAGCCUGGGAAACUGGGUCUAAUACCGGAUACGACCAAUCUCCGCAUGGGGUGUUGGUGGAAAGCGUUAUGGAGUGGUUUUAGAUGGGCUCACGGCCUAUCAGCUUGUUGGUGAGGUAAUGGCUUACCAAGGCGACGACGGGUAGCCGGCCUGAGAGGGUGACCGGCCACACUGGGACUGAGACACGGCCCAGACUCCUACGGGAGGCAGCAGUGGGGAAUAUUGCACAAUGGGCGCAAGCCUGAUGCAGCGACGCCGCGUGAGGGAUGACGGCCUUCGGGUUGUAAACCUCUGUUAGCAUCGAAGAAGCGAAAGUGACGGUAGGUGCAGAGAAAGCGCCGGCUAACUACGUGCCAGCAGCCGCGGUAAUACGUAGGGCGCGAGCGUUGUCCGGAAUUAUUGGGCGUAAAGAGCUUGUAGGCGGUUGGUCGCGUCUGCUGUGAAAGGCUGGGGCUUAACCCUGGUUUUGCAGUGGGUACGGGCUAACUAGAGUGCAGUAGGGGAGACUGGAAUUCCUGGUGUAGCGGUGGAAUGCGCAGAUAUCAGGAGGAACACCGAUGGCGAAGGCAGGUCUCUGGGCUGUAACUGACGCUGAGAAGCGAAAGCAUGGGGAGCGAACAGGAUUAGAUACCCUGGUAGUCCAUGCCGUAAACGU